AUCGAACGCUGGCGGAAUGCUUUACACAUGCAAGUCGAACGGCAGCACGGACUUCGGUCUGGUGGCGAGUGGCGAACGGGUGAGUAAUAUAUCGGAACGUGCCCAGUCGUGGGGGAUAACGUAGCGAAAGCUACGCUAAUACCGCAUACGAUCUACGGAUGAAAGCGGGGGAUCGCAAGACCUCGCGCGAUUGGAGCGGCCGAUAUCAGAUUAGGUAGUUGGUGAGGUAAAGGCUCACCAAGCCGACGAUCUGUAGCUGGUCUGAGAGGACGACCAGCCACACUGGGACUGAGACACGGCCCAGACUCCUACGGGAGGCAGCAGUGGGGAAUUUUGGACAAUGGACGCAAGUCUGAUCCAGCCAUUCCGCGUGCAGGACGAAGGCCUUCGGGUUGUAAACUGCUUUUGUACGGAACGAAAGGGUUUCCAUUAAUACUGGGAGCUCAUGACGGUACCGUAAGAAUAAGCACCGGCUAACUACGUGCCAGCAGCCGCCGUAA
rnacentral:rRNA from 1 species